rnacentral:rRNA from 1 species
GAUGAACGCUGGCGGCGUGCCUAAUACAUGCAAGUCGAGCGAACAGACGAGAGUGCUUGCACUCUCUGACGUUAGCGGCGGACGGGUGAGUAACACGUGGGUAACCUACCUAUAAGACUGGGAUAACUUCGGGAAACCGGAGCUAAUACCGGAUAAUAUUUAGCUUCGCAUGAAGCAAUAGUGAAAGACGGUUCUGCUGUCACUUAUAGAUGGACCCGCGGUGUAUUAGCUAGUUGGUGAGGUAACGGCUCACCAAGGCAACGAUACAUAGCCGACCUGAGAGGGUGAUCGGCCACACUGGGACUGAGACACGGCCCAGACUCCUACGGGAGGCAGCAGCAGGGAAUCUUCCGCAAUGGACGAAAGUCUGACGGAGCAAUGCCGCGUAAGUGAAGAAGGUGUUCGGAUCGUAAAACUCUGUUGUAAGGGAAGAACAAGUACGUUAGUAACUGAACGUACCUUGACGGUACCUUACCAGAAAGCCACGGCUAACUACGUG